ensembl:lincRNA Gm32950 predicted gene, 32950
CUUCGAGUGGGAAGCCGGAGCCGACUGAUUCUCUGCUCUGGCUGUGGACUUUGCAAACUUACAAACCAGAGUGGAGGUCUCACUAUGAAGCCAUGGCUAUCACAGACACUAUGAAGACCAGGCUGGCUUUGAACCCACAAAGAUACUCCAGCUUCUGCUUUAUAAGUGCUGGGAUCAAAGAUGUGCUCAAUCAUGCCUGGUGACCAGAUAUAUUUUUAAUAGAUUAUAAGCU